GUGCUUGCUUCAGUAGCACAUAUGCUAAAACUGGAAUGAUUCAGAGAAGAUUAGUUUGACCACUGAACAAGGAUGACAUGAAAAUUCAUGAAGUGUUCCAUAUUUUU